rnacentral:rRNA from 1 species
UAGGGGGGGGGGGGGUGCUAUACAUGCAAGUCGAGCGAACUGAUUAGAAGCUUGCUUCUAUGACGUUAGCGGCGGACGGGUGAGUAACACGUGGGCAACCUGCCUGUAAGACUGGGAUAACUCCGGGAAACCGGAGCUAAUACCGGAUAACAUUUUUUCUUGCAUAAGAGAAAAUUGAAAGAUGGUUUCGGCUAUCACUUACAGAUGGGCCCGCGGUGCAUUAGCUAGUUGGUGAGGUAACGGCUCACCAAGGCAACGAUGCAUAGCCGACCUGAGAGGGUGAUCGGCCACACUGGGACUGAGACACGGCCCAGACUCCUACGGGAGGCAGCAGUAGGGAAUCUUCCGCAAUGGACGAAAGUCUGACGGAGCAACGCCGCGUGAGUGAUGAAGGCUUUCGGGUCGUAAAACUCUGUUGUUAGGGAAGAACAAGUACAAGAGUAACUGCUUGUACCUUGACGGUACCUAACCAGAAAGCCACGGCUAACUACGUGCCAGCAGCCGCGGUAAU